AUUGAACGCUGGCGGCAUGCCUUACACAUGCAAGUCGAACGGUAACAGGUCUUCGGAUGCUGACGAGUGGCGAACGGGUGAGUAAUACAUCGGAACGUGCCCGAGAGUGGGGGAUAACGAGGCGAAAGCUUUGCUAAUACCGCAUACGAUCUCAGGAUGAAAGCAGGGGACCGCAAGGCCUUGCGCUCACGGAGCGGCCGAUGGCAGGUUAGGUAGUUGGAGGGAUAAAAGCUUACCAAGCCGACGAGCUGUAGCUGGUCUGAGAGGACGACCACCGCCGCUGGGACUGAGACACGGCCCAGAUUCCUGCGGGGGGUAGCAAUUGGGAAGUUUGGACAAUGGGAGCAAGCCUGAUCCAGCCAGGCCGCGUGCUGGAUGAAGGCCUUCGGGUUGUAAACUGCUUUUGUACGGAACGAAAAGACUCCUUCUAAUAAAGGGGGUCCAUGACGGUACCGUAAGAAUAAGCACCGGCUAACUACGUGCCAGCCGCCGCGGUAACAC
rnacentral:rRNA from 1 species